UACUUAAAGAUACAUUUAUCACCCUAACAUCUUCAAUGUCAUACUCUUUUUAAGCUAUUUAAGU
rnacentral:tRNA from 1 species